CCUACGGGUGGCAGCAGUGAGGAAUAUUGGUCAAUGGGCGAGAGCCUGAACCAGCCAAGUCGCGUGAAGGAUGACGGCCCUCCGGUUUGUAAACUUCUUUUGUCAGGAAGCAAUUGAGUCCACGUGUGGUCUUAGCGAGAGUACCUGAAGAAAAAGCAUCAGCUAACUCCGUGCCAGCAGCCGCGGUAAUACGGAGGAUGCGAGCGUUACUCGGAAUCCCUGGGGGUAAAGAGUGCGUAGGCGGGAUAGCAAGGCAGAUGUGAAAUCCUAUGGCUGACCCAUAGAACUGCAUUUGAAACGGUGAAUCUAGAGUAUGGGAGAGGUAGGUGGAAUUCUUGGUGUAGCGGUAAAAUGCGUAGAGAUCAAGAGGAAUACUCAUGGCGAAGGCGACCUACUAGAACAUAACUGACGCUGAUGCGCGAAAGCGUGGGGAGCAAACAGGAUUAGAUACCCUUGUAGUC
rnacentral:rRNA from 1 species